UACGGGGGGGGCAAGCGUUGUUCGGAAUUACUGGGCGUAGAGGGCUCGUAGGCGGCCAACUAAGUCAGACGUGAAAUCCCUCGGCUUAACCGGGGAACUGCGUCUGAUACUGGAUGGCUUGAGUUUGGGAGAGGUGAGUGGAACUGCGAGUGUAGAGGUGAAAUUCGUAGAUAUUCGCAAGAACACCAGUGGCGAAGGCGGCUCACUGGCCCGGUACUGACGCUGAGGUGCGAAAGCGUGGGGAGCAAACAGG
rnacentral:rRNA from 1 species